UACGGAGGGUGCGAGCGUUGUCCGGAAUCACUGGGCGUAAAGGGCGCGUAGGCGGCAGGCCAAGCGUGCGGUGAAAGUCCGGGGCUCAACCCCGGAUCUGCCGUGCGGACUGGUUUGCUAGAGCACUGUAGAGGCGAGUGGAAUUCCGGGUGUAGCGGUGGAAUGCGUAGAGAUCCGGAAGAACACCGGUGGCGAAAGCGGCUCUCUGGAACGGUACUGACGCUGAGACGCGAAAGCGUGGGUAGCAAACAGG
rnacentral:rRNA from 1 species